UACGUAGGGUGCGAGCGUUGUCCGGAAUUAUUGGGCGUAAAGAGCUCGUAGGCGGUUUGUCGCGUCUGCUGUGAAAACUGGAGGCUCAACCUUCAGAGGUCGACCGAAACCAUCUGGCUAGAGUCCGGGAGAGGAGAGUGGAAUUCCUGGUGUAGCGGUGAAAUGCGCAGAUAUCAGGAAGAACACCCGUGGCGAAAGCGGCUCUCUGGAACGGUACUGACGCUGAGACGCGAAAGCGUGGGGAGCGAACAGG
rnacentral:rRNA from 1 species